CCUACGGGAGGCAGCAGUGGGGAAUUGUUCACAAUGGGCGCAAGCCUGAUGACGCAACGCCGCGUGGAGGAUGAAGGUCUUCGGAUUGUAAACUCCUGUUGCUCGGGACGAAAAGCUCUGACCUAACACGUCAGAGUCUGACGGUACCGAGUGAGGAAGCCNCGGCUAACUCUGUGCCAGCAGCCGCGGUAAUACAGAGGGGGCAAGCGUUGUUCGGAAUUACUGGGCGUAAAGGGCGCGUAGGCGGCCCUCUAAGUCAGACGUGAAAUCCCCGGGCUCAACCCGGGAACUGCGUCUGAUACUGGAGGGCUUGAAUCCGGGAGAGGGAUGCGGAAUUCCAGGUGUAGCGGUGAAAUGCGUAGAUAUCUGGAGGAACACCGGUGGCGAAGGCGGCAUCCUGGACCGGUAUUGACGCUGAGGCGCGAAAGCCAGGGGAGCAAACGGGAUUAGAUACCCCGGUAGUCCUGGCCCUAAACGAUGAAUGCUUGGUGUGGCGGGUAUCGAUCCCUGCCGUGCCGAAGCUAACGCAUUAAGCAUUCCGCCUGGGGAGUACGGUCGCAAGGCUGAAACUCAAAUGGAUUGACGG
rnacentral:rRNA from 1 species